UACAGAGGUCUCAAGCGUUGUUCGGAUUCAUUGGGCGUAAAGAGUGCGUAGGCGGUCCCGCAAGUCCGCUGUGAAAGCCCCGGGCUUAACCUGGGAAUGGCAGUGGAAACUAUGGGACUUGAAUCUGGCAGAGGGGGGUGGAAUGCCACGUGUAGCAGUGAAAUGCGUAGAGAUGUGGCGGAACACCGAUGGCGAAGGCAGCCCCCUGGGCUGAGAUUGACGCUCAGGCACGAAAGCGUGGGGAGCAAACAGG
rnacentral:rRNA from 1 species